CACAACGUGUAAGACUCAGCUUUAAUCAAACUGACAGCAUCAUCAUCAGCAGCAUCAGCAUCAUUAUCAUCAUCAUCAGAAUGCAGUAUUUGGUGUUCAUCAUGUUUUGGUUAUCUUGUGCAGCCCAGUAAUAAACCAAACUGUGAUCAACUACACAUCAGACAGGAUGCAUGUUGACCCACAAAAUCCAAGACAAAUACAAAUAUCUGAUGUACAGCCUUCAGAUGCAGGAUUAUACUCAUGUUUCCCAUUCGACAAGGAGUGGAUAUUGACUAUAGCAGCUUUUGCCAAUUCAGACAGAGAAAUACAACAAGACAAUAUAUGGCCAUUCUACAUAGUUUUCUCAGUAAGCACAGUGUGUGUCACUAUGUGUUUCUUCUGUGGCGUGUGCCUUCACAGGUGAGA